rnacentral:misc_RNA from 1 species
UCUGCGUUACCGCAGCAGUCUCGCGUGACACGUAUAACACACGAUAGGGGUUGCGCUCGUUAAUCCACUUAAGGAGACCACUCACGUGACGAGCUGACGACAGCCGUGCAGCACCUGUCCAGCGGCCUUUCGGGGUCCCUGGUUUCCCGGGGAUUUCCACUGAAUUUCAAACCCUGGUGAGGUUUCUCGGUUAGAGUCGAAUUAAACCGCAUGAUCCACUGCUUGUGCGAGUUCCCGCCUAUUUCUUUGAGUUUUAAUCUUGCGAUCGUACUUCCCAGGCGACACACUUAACGCGUUAGCUUCGCCACUGGAAGGGUCGAUGCUCCCAAUAGCUAGUGUGCAUAGUUUAGGGCGUGGACUA